rnacentral:misc_RNA from 1 species
UCCCCGUUAACCGGGGCAGUCCCCCUAGAGUUCCCGGCAUGACUCGUUGGCAACUAGGGGCGAGGGUUGCGCUCGUUGCGGGACUUAACCCAACAUCUCACGACACGAGCUGACGACAGCCAUGCAGCACCUGUGAAGAUGCCCCGAAGGGAAGGCCUGUUUCCAGGCCGGUCAUCCACAUGUCAAGCCCAGGUAAGGUUCUUCGCGUUGCCUCGAAUUAAACCACAUGCUCCACCGCUUGUGCGGGCCCCCGUCAAUUCCUUUGAGUUUCAGCCUUGCGGCCGUACUCCCCAGGCGGGGCACUUAAUGCGUUAGCGCCGGCACCCAGGGGGUCGCUCCCCCAGGCACCUAGUGCCCAUCGUUUACGGCGUGGACUAC